rnacentral:rRNA from 1 species
UACAGAGGUCCCAAGCGUUGUUCGGAUUCAUUGGGCGUAAAGGGUGCGUAGGCGGCGCGGUAAGUCGGGUGUGAAAUCUCGGGGCUUAACUCCGAAACUGCAUUCGAUACUGCCGUGCUUGAGGACUGGAGAGGAGACUGGAAUUUACGGUGUAGCGGUGAAAUGCGUAGAUAUCGUAAGGAAGACCAGUGGCGAAGGCGGGUCUCUGGACAGUUCCAGACGCUGAGGCACGAAGGCCAGGGGAGCAAACGGG